CCUACGGGGGGCUGCAGUGGGGAAUAUUGGACAAUGGGGGCAACCCUGAUCCAGCCAUGUCGCGUGUGUGAAGAAGGCCCUCGGGUUGUAAAGCACUUUCAGUGAGGAAGAACGCCUGGUGGUUAAUACCCAUCAGGAAAGACAUCACUCACAGAAGAAGCACCGGCUAACUCCGUGCCAGCAGCCGCGGUAAUACGGAGGGUGCGAGCGUUAAUCGGAAUUACUGGGCGUAAAGCGCGCGUAGGUGGCUUGAUAAGCCGGUUGUGAAAGCCCCGGGCUCAACCUGGGAACGGCAUCCGGAACUGUCAAGCUAGAGUGCAGGAGAGGAAGGUAGAAUUCCCGGUGUAGCGGUGAAAUGCGUAGAGAUCGGGAGGAAUACCAGUGGCGAAGGCGGCCUUCUGGACUGACACUGACACUGAGGUGCGAAAGCGUGGGUAGCAAACAGGAUUAGAUACCCGAGUAGUC
rnacentral:rRNA from 1 species